CUUAAAAGCUUAACGUGUAGUCAAUAUUUGACAGCAUUUUGAAUACUUUAAUCCAAAUACAUACAUUGGUAUAAAAUAUUAAAGAUAAGUAAAUAGAAAGUUUGAGAUAUUGGAAAUGCAUCUACGCGAACGAUUUCCAAGAGUUUUGAAGUAUUGAAUGAUAUUCGAAUCACUUCGAAUCUCGGCAUUCUUAAAAAACAUUGAAUCAUCUCAAAACUGACAAUGAAAUUUGAAUGCCCAUCAUAAGUUGUAUUUCUAUGCGAUCCAAUCCUGCAAGCUACUUCAAUUGGAGGUUAUGAAUCUAUCGAUGUUUUUUCGAUCAAUCAUAUGUAUUUUCUACACUUUUUUUAAGACUCAAUUCACGUAUUGAUUUCGUUAAAAAGUGGGUACUUCGUACAUAGCAACAGCAAUUUUUCAGCAAGGUGUAUAAAAAUAUCGAUAGGAAGGGAUUGAUAAUAUACAGAAUACAGAACGAUAUAAAAAUAAUUUACUUAACAAAAAGUAUAUAAUCUCAUACUGCUCCAAUUUGAGGUAGGUAGCUGGAAAUAUUGAUGAGGUUUAAUUCAAUAAAGAGGAAUGGAUAUUAUAUAGAAGUGGUAUACAUUUGACAUGACAAAAAAUAACAUAUUUAUCUGGAAGGAAUGAGAUGUAAAAUAAGUCCAAUAUGGCUUUUAUUAAGUCAAUGAUAAUGACAAGUGAAAUAAAUUAAUCUCUAACAUCAACCGUAUGUCGUAAUUGCAUGAUGUUAGUAACAAUAAAUUAAAUAAGUAGUUACAUUUAAGUAAUCAGAUAAUCUACAUAUAGACUGUUUACUAAUAUACAUUAGCAAUUAACGUAAUUUAUAAAUAAAUUCUUCUUCAGGAGUUCUAAAAAUAAUAUCGAGCUUACAAUCCAAUGGCGUGUAUGAUUAUGUCACAUGUAAUGUGUACCUAAACAGGGAAUUAUUCACAAUACAUGCUUGACGAUUUUGUUACAGUGAGUCUAAAGUAACAAACUUAGAAUAACAUCAUGUAUUUCUUUAUACCAAACUGCAUUUUCUAAUUGCGUUAAACUAGAAUUUAUUUUCUGUAACAUCAACUUUUUGUAAUUAUGAAAGCAUACGUUCAAUGAUUAUGGCAUUUAAAAUGCUCGACGUCCGUGUAAGUAUAUAAUUUUCUAAAAAUUGUACCAACUCAGUAUACAAUGAUAUACCUAGUCAUAAAUACGUUUCUUAAUCAUAUCGAUGCAUUUAAAGACUUAUAUACAGAUUAGAACAUAUCUGUUCUAUUCCUUAAUGAAAACUGAAACACUGUACAUAAAAAUAUUUACAUAUUAAAAUUGAAAUUGUUGUUAUGGUCGUGUCCUUUUUCCGAAGUUGAUCGUUAAAAUAGUUAAGAUUCAGCGCAGCCGUAAUUAAUGUACAUUUACGCGCUUAAAAUCUUCCCUCUUAUCUUCAUCUCGUUCAUUUUGAGCUUGCAAGCUAACUGCAACGAAGGUAGAAAGUCGUUGUAUAAAGUACGAAAAAAGAUAAAUAGGUCUACAAA